UUUCCCAUUUCUUGAUUUACAGAAAUGAAGGGGCUACUCAGGGUAGAGUUCUGAAUCUCAAAACACUCUACUCUGGCAACGGAAUGAAGUUAUUGGAGUGAUGACAGGAACACGGGAGAACAAUGCUCUGUUUGGGCUGGAUAUUUCUUUGGCUUGUUGCAGGAGAGCGAAUUAAAGGAUUUAAUAUUUCAGGUUGUUCCACAAAAAAACUCCUUUGGACAUAUUCUACAAGGAGUGAAGAGGAAUUUGUCUUAUUUUGUGAUUUACCAGAGCCACAGAAAUCACAUUUCUGCCACAGAAAUCGACCCUCACCAAAACAAGUCCCUGAGCACCUGCCCUUCACGGGUAGUAAGGACCUAUCUGAUGUCCAAUGGUACCGACAACCUUCGAAUGGAGAUCCAUUAGAGGACAUUAGGAAAAGCUAUCCUCACAUCAUUCAGGACAAAUGUACCCUUCACUUUUUGACCCCAGGGGUGAAUAAUUCUGGGUCAUAUAUUUGUAGACCCAAGAUGAUUAAGUAUGUUCCAAAUACAUUUCUAUCUAAAAACAUUUCCAAAUCCUCUAUUAUCUAG
rnacentral:sRNA from 1 species